CUAGUUGCUCUUGCCGGUAAUCAUAUGCUUGUCUCAUAGAUUAAGUACAUGUAGUAUUAAAGGGAAACCGGGAAUGACUUCUUAAAUCAGUUAUGGUUCCUUUGAUCGUACGUUACUAUUUGUAUAACUGUGGCAGUUCUAGAGAUGCAGCAGAGCUCCGACCCUCUGGAAACGAGCGCUUUUAUGAGACCAAAACCAAUUGGACCUCGUGUCCGUAUUAUGUGGUAACUCUGUGUGACUUUGAGCUGAUCGCAAAAGACAGUUCAGGUGUCUGCCUUAACAGCUGUCGAUGGUAGGUUACGCGCCUACCAUGGUCGUAAUGGAUGACGGGGAAUGAGGUUCGAGAGAGAGAGCGUGAAAACGGCUACCACAUCCAAGGAAGGCAGCACGCUCGAAAAUUACCCACUUCCAGAAAAAGGAGGUAGCGACGGACUCUUUUUGAGAACCCGUAACUGAAAUGAGUGCAUUCUAAAUCCUUUCACGAGGAUCCAUUAUACGGCAAGUCUGGUGGCAGCAGCUUCGGUAAUUCCAGCUCCAAUAGCGUAUAUU
rnacentral:ncRNA from 1 species